rnacentral:misc_RNA from 1 species
AAGUCGUAACAAGGUUUCCGUAGGUGAACCUGCGGAAGGAUCAUUACCGAGAAACGGGCUCCGGCUCGAUCUCCACCCACUGUGUAUCGAUUUGAACCAGACCGGAAACGGUAGGGUCAAUCAACUCUUGUCCUACGGGACUCAUGAAAAAUUAAAACUUUCAACAACGGAUCUCUUGGUUCUG